rnacentral:rRNA from 1 species
GAUGAACGCUGGCGGCGUGCCUAAUACAUGCAAGUCGAGCGAACGGACGAGGAGCUUGCUCCUCUGACGUUAGCGGCGGACGGGUGAGUAACACGUGGAUAACCUACCUAUAAGACUGGGAUAACUUCGGGAAACCGGAGCUAAUACCGGAUAAUAUAUUGAACCGCAUGGUUCAAUAGUGAAAGACGGUUUUGCUGUCACUUAUAGAUGGAUCCGCGCCGCAUUAGCUAGUUGGUAAGGUAACGGCUUCCCAAGGCGACGAUGCGUAGCCGACCUGAGAGGGUGAUCGGCCACACUGGAACUGAGACACGGUCCAGACUCCUACGGGAGGCAGCAGUAGGGAAUCUUCCGCAAUGGGCGAAAGCUUGACGGAGCAACGCCGCGUGAGUGAUGAAGGUCUUCGGAUCGUAAAACUCUGUUAUUAGGGAAGAACAAAUGUGUAAGUAACUAUGCACGUCUUGACGGUACCUAAUCAGAAAGCCACGGCUAACUACGUG